UCUUCCGUAGUAUAGUGGUCAGUAUGUGAGCUUGUCAUCGUCGACUUCGCUCGAGACCCGGGUUCAAUUCCCGGCGGGAGAG